rnacentral:rRNA from 1 species
UACCGCGUGGGUGAAGAAGGCCUUCGGGUUGUAAAGCCCUUUUGUUGGGAAAGAAAUCCAGCCGGCUAAUACCUGGUUGGGAUGACGGUACCCAAAGAAUAAGCACCGGCUAACUUCGUGCCAGCAGCCGCGGUAAUACGAAGGGUGCAAGCGUUACUCGGAAUUACUGGGCGUAAAGCGUGCGUAGGUGGUUGUUUAAGUCUGUUGUGAAAGCCCUGGGCUCAACCUGGGAACUGCAGUGGAAACUGGACGACUAGAGUGUGGUAGAGGGUAGCGGAAUUCCUGGUGUAGCAGUGAAAUGCGUAGAGAUCAGGAGGAACAUCCAUGGCGAAGGCAGCUACCUGGACCAACACUGACACUGAGGCACGAAAGCGUGGGGAGCAAACAGGAUUAGAUACCCUGGUAGUCCACGCCCUAAACGAUGCGAACUGGAUGUUGGGUGCAAUUUGGCACGCAGUAUCGAAGCUAACGCGUUAAGUUCGCCGCCUGGGGAGUACGGUCGCAAGACUGAAACUCAAAGGAAUUGACGGGGGCCCGCACAAGCGGUGGAGUAUGUGGUUUAAUUCGAUGCAACGCGAAGAACCUUACCUGGCCUUGACAUGUCGAGAACUUUCCAGAG